CCUACGGGUGGCAGCAGUAGGGAAUAUUGCUCAAUGGGGGAAACCCUGAAGCAGCAACGCCGCGUGGAGGAUGAAGGUUUUCGGAUUGUAAACUCCUUUUGUUAGAGAAGAUAAUUACGGUAUCUAACGAAUAAGCACCGGCUAACUCCGUGCCAGCAGCCGCGGUAAUACGGAGGGUGCAAGCGUUACUCGGAAUCACUGGGCGUUAAGAGCGCGUAGGCGGGGUAGCAAGUCAGAUGUGAAAUCCUAUGGCUUAACCAUAGAACUGCAUUUGAAACUGUUAUUCUUGAGUAUGGGAGAGGUAGGUGGAAUUCGUGGUGUAGGGGUAAAAUGCGUAGAGAUCAAGAGGAAUACUCAUUGCGAAGGCGACCUGCUAGAACGUAACUGACGCUGAUGCGCGAAAGCGUGGGGAGCAAACAGGAUUAGAUACCCGGGUAGUC
rnacentral:rRNA from 1 species